GCCUGGGUAGCUUAGCGGUAAAGCGCGUCCUUGGUAAGGACGAGACCGCGGAUUCGAAUUCCGCCCUAGGCU
rfam:uncultured archaeon A07HN63 genomic scaffold scf7180000020196, whole genome shotgun sequence.